GAGUUUGAUCGUGGCUCAGAACGAACGCUGGCGGCAGGCCUAACACAUGCAAGUCGAACGCUCCGCAAGGGGCGUGGCAGACGGGUGAGUAACGCGUGGGAACGUACCCUUCGGUUCGGAAUAACCCAGGGAAACUUGGGAUAAUACCGGAUACGUCCGUAAGGAGAAAGAUUUAUCGCCGAAGGAUCGGCCCGCGUCUGAUUAGCUAGUUGGUGAGGUAAUGGCUCACCAAGGCGACGAUCAGUAGCUGGUCUGAGAGGAUGAUCAGCCUCACUGGGACUGAGACACGGCCCAGACUCCUACGGGAGGCAGCAGUGGGGAAUAUUGGACAAUGGGCGCAAGCCUGAUCCAGCCAUGCCGCGUGGAUGAUGAAGGCCCUAGGGUUGUAAAGUCCUUUUCGGCGGGGAAGAUAAUGACGGUACCCGCAGAAGAAGCCCCGGCUAACUUCGUGCCAGCCGCCGCGGUAAU
rnacentral:rRNA from 1 species